CAUCCUACCUGGCAGGGUUUUUCCAUGAUCACGGAGGUGGUUUUCCCAGGGCGAGGUGCUCUCCAUAUGCUGAGCCCUGCAACAACCUCCAACGAGGGACUGCACAAUCUGUGGGCGGGACUGCGUGUGCGCUACA
rnacentral:snRNA from 1 species